AUUGAACGCUGGCGGCAGGCUUAACACAUGCAAGUCGAACGCCCCGCAAGGGGAGUGGCAGACGGGUGAGUAACACGUGGGAACGUACCCUUUGGUUCGGAAUAACUUGGGGAAACUCAAGCUAAUACCGGAUAAGCCCUUAUGGGGAAAGGUUUACUGCCGAAGGAUCGGCCCGCGUCUGAUUAGCUAGUUGGUGAGGUAAUGGCUCACCAAGGCGACGAUCAGUAGCUGGUCUGAGAGGAUGAUCAGCCACACUGGGACUGAGACACGGCCCAGACUCCUACGGGAGGCAGCAGUGGGGAAUAUUGGACAAUGGGGGCAACCCUGAUCCAGCCAUGCCGCGUGAGUGAUGAAGGCCUUAGGGUUGUAAAGCUCUUUUACCCGGGACGAUAAUGACUGUACCGGGAGAAUAAGCCCCGGCUAACUUCGUGCCAGCAGCCGCCGCCG
rnacentral:rRNA from 1 species